rnacentral:rRNA from 1 species
UAGGGAAUCUUCGGCAAUGGACGAAAGUCUGACCGAGCAACGCCGCGUGAGUGAAGAAGGUUUUCGGAUCGUAAAACUCUGUUGUUUGAGAAGAACAAGGACGUUAGUAACUGAACGUCCCCUGACGGUAUCUAACCAGAAAGCCACGGCUAACUACGUGCCAGCAGCCGCGGUAAUACGUAGGUGGCAAGCGUUGUCCGGAUUUAUUGGGCGUAAAGCGAGCGCAGGCGGUUUCUUAAGUCUGAUGUGAAAGCCCCCGGCUCAACCGGGGAGGGUCAUUUGAAACUGGGAGACUUGAGUGCAGAAGAGGAGAGUGGAAUUCCAUGUGUAGCGGUGAAAUGCGUAGAUAUAUGGAGGAACACCAGUGGCGAAGGCGGCUCUCUGGUCUGUAACUGACGCUGAGGUUCGAAAGCGUGGGGAGCAAACAGG